rnacentral:lncRNA from 1 species
CAAACUCCUGCAAUUUGCUGCAACUAGUAACCUCCAUUCAACGCUUUUUCUUCUCUCUAUUUAUUUUGAGUUUUUUUUUUUUUACUUAAUUGGAUUUUUAUUUCAAUAUGAUAUUUAUUUUUGUUUAUGUUUUAAUUAAUUUGAUUUUUGUUCCUGAUUUUAUUUUUGUUCAAAUUUGAUAAAUUAGGACGUGGUUGAAUACUCUAUAGCUAGUCAAAAUAUUGAGCCCAUACUCUUUACUUUUAGCAUAUCAAAUGUAAUUGCUGAAUUUAUGUUCUUUACUUGAAGAAAUAUUCUGAACUUUCUGUGUAGUGGUCAUCGAAAGUGCAGAAAGAAAAAAACUGAAACUCUUAUUCGUUCUUCAUAAAUUUAAUUGAUGAUAUUUGCAUGGGUUCGAUCUUAUUUUUCAAUGAAGACAUGCCUUAUUUCUGUUUUAUCUUCACUGUCAAGUAACAUUGAUCCCUCUACUAAUUUUCAUUUUUCUGGUUCGAGAUUUUCAACCCCACUGUUGUUAAAGAUCAUUUGAAGAAAUAUUUUUGGCACUCAUCUUUGGAAGCUUGAUCUUGUGUUCCCUUAAAAAAUUAAAAAGAGGAAAUCAGUUAGAGUGGUGUAAGUUCUUUCACAAGUUAAUGCUUCUGUUAUAACUCGGACAAUAUUAUGUUUUAUGUUUGCAGGCCAUCUAAGUUUUCUCUAUAUUACAUAGUGGAGUUUGGUUAAUGGGAGUUUUUUAAGGUUAUUGUCUUCUAAAACAGAUUAGAACCCUUCAUAUAUGUGACCAUAUUUAAUCUUAAUUUUGUAGGGGAACCUUGUGGAUGUAUCAUUGCAUGCUUGAGACCAAUUGUUUCCUCAAAAUAUAACCUUUCUUGGACACAUGGUUUCUUUGUUUUUGCUAAUAGGAGAAGUAGAAAAUGAUCUUCUUUAUUCUAUUUCUAUAUAGUAACUUGGUUGUGUAUCUGGUUUUUGCUUAAUAAGAGACCAU